UUUUUAUCUGCGAUCAAGACGAAUUACAAAGCACUGGUGAAUCAAACACAUAGUUUCUACGAUUUCGUUGAGAAUCUUUUACAGUAUUUCGAAAAUGCUUAUAUAAUUUCUUUUGUACGAGAUUGACGAGACAGAAAACUGAGACAUUAUGGCUUGUUGCUCAAGAUAUGCAAGCUAAGGUGAAGAAAACGCGGCGGCGGAGGUGCAGAGGAGUUAGAAUUGGCACCCGCUAGGUCCAUAGGAGGAGCGCUCGUCGGAUGGAUGGAAAUUGAGGCAUGCGCUCUGCUGGCCGCAAUAAGGUGGGUGUUGGAUUCUGGCCAUGAAAAUGUAGUGUUUGAAACGGCUGCUAUAGGGGUCGUAGAUCGGCUAGUCGGUGGGGAGAGUAAUGUUACGGAACUUGGUGAUAUCUUGACCCAAUGCCACACAAUCCUAACAGAGUCUAGUUGGUUAUUGUUUGUUUGAAGGUGUAGGAAUAUGGUCAGCUAGCUAGACAUAUAGAUUCCUCAUUCCUACCCACUUUUUUGGGUCAUUUCUCCGUUUUAGUUAUAGGAGCAUGUAAACGAUAUUUGUUCGUUGAUGGAUCAUUUAUAUCACGAG
rnacentral:lncRNA from 1 species